GUGAUGGGGGGACGCAUAGGGUUAAGCGAGCUAGCUGAUGGAAGUGCUAGUCUAAGGGCGUAGAUUGGAGGGAAGGCAAAUCCACCUCUGUAUUUGAAACCCAAACAGGCUCUUUGAGUCCUUUCAGGACAAAGGGAGAAUCGCUGAUACCGUCGUGCCAAGAAAAGCCUCUAAGCAUAUCCAUAGUCGUCCGUACCGCAAACCGACACAGGUAGAUGAGAUGAGUAUUCUAAGGCGCGUGAAAGAACUCUGGUUAAGGAACUCUGCAAACUAGCACCGUAAGUUCGCGAUAAGGUGUGCCGCAGCAAUGCGGUCUCAGCAAAGAGUCCCUCCCGACUGUUUACCAAAAACACAGCACUUUGCCAACUCGUAAGAGGAAGUAUAAGGUGUGACGCCUGCCCGGUGCUCGAAGGUUAAGAGGAUGCGUCAGUCGCAAGAUGAAGCGUUGAAUUGAAGCCCGAGUAAACGGCGGCCGUAACUAUAACGGUCCUAAGGUAGCGAAAUUCCUUGUCGGUUAAAUACCGACCUGCAUGAAUGGCGUAACGAGAUGGGAGCUGUCUCAACCAGAGAUUCAGUGAAAUUGUAGUGGAGGUGAAAAUUCCUCCUACCCGCGGCAAGACGGAAAGACCCCGUGGACCUUUACUACAACUUAGCACUGCUAACGGGAAUAUCAUGCGCAGGAUAGGUGGGAGGCUUUGAAGUAAGGGCUUUGGCUCUUAUGGAGCCAUCCUUGAGAUACCACCCUUGAUGUUUCUGUUAGCUAACUGGCCUGUGUUAUCCACAGGCAGGACAAUGCUUGGUGGGUAGUUUGACUGGGGCGGUCGCCUCCUAAAAAGUAACGGAGGCUUGCAAAGGUUGGCUCAUUGCGGUUGGAAAUCGCAAGUUGAGUGUAAUGGCACAAGCCAGCCUGACUGUAAGACAUACAAGUCAAGCAGAGACGAAAGUCGGUCAUAGUGAUCCGGUGGUUCUGUGUGGAAGGGCCAUCGCUCAAAGGAUAAAAGGUACCCCGGGGAUAACAUGCUGAUCUCCCCCAAGAGCUCACAUCGACGGGGAGGUUUGGCACCUCGAUGUCGGCUCAUCGCAUCCUGGGGCUGGAGCAGGUCCCAAGGGUAUGGCUGUUCGCCAUUUAAGGCGGUACGCGAGCUGGGUUCAGAACGUCGUGAGACAGUUCGGUCCCUAUCUGCCGUGGGCGUAGGAAAGUUGAGGAGAGCUGUCCCUAGUACGAGAGGACCGGGAUGGACGUGUCACUGGUGCACCAGUUGUUCUGCCAAGAGCAUCGCUGGGUAGCUACACACGGAUGUGAUAACUGCUGAAAGCAUCUAAGCAGGAAGCCAACUCCAAGAUAAACUUUCCCUGAAGCUCGCACAAAGACUAUGUGCUUGAUAGGGUAGAUGUGUAAGCGCAGUAAUGCGUUUAGCUGACUACUACUAAUAGAGCGUUUGGCUUGUUUU
rnacentral:rRNA from 1 species